rnacentral:rRNA from 1 species
AUUGAACGCUGGCGGCAUGCUUUACACAUGCAAGUCGAACGGCAGCGCGGGCUUCGGCCUGGAGGCGAGUGGCGAACGGGUGAGUAAUGCAUCGGAACGUGCCCAGUAGUGGGGGAUAGCCCGGCGAAAGCCGGAUUAAUACCGCAUACGACCUGAGGGUGAAAGCGGGGGACCGAAAGGCCUCGCGCUAUUGGAGCGGCCGAUGUCGGAUUAGCUAGUUGGUGGGGUAAAGGCCUACCAAGGCGACGAUCCGUAGCUGGUCUGAGAGGACGACCAGCCACACUGAGACUGAGACACGGCCCAGACUCCUACGGGAGGCAGCAGUGGGGAAUUUUGGACAAUGGGGGCAACCCUGAUCCAGCCAUGCCGCGUGCGGGAAGAAGGCCUUCGGGUUGUAAACCGCUUUUGUUCGGGAAGAAAUCCUCUGGGCUAAUACCCCGGGGGGAUGACGGUACCGGAAGAAUAAGCACCGGCUAACUACGUG